AACUGAUACUACCUGCGGGAACCUGCGGAGGGAUCAUUACCGAGUUUUCAACUCCCUAACCCUUCUGUGAACCUACCUAUCGUUGCUUCGGCGGACUCGCCCCAGCCCGGACGCGGACUGGACCAGCGGCCCGCCGGGGACCUCAAACUCUUGUAUUCCAGCAUCUUCUGAAUACGCCGCAAGGCAAAACAAAUGAAUCAAAACUUUCAACAACGGAUCUCUAGAUCGGAAGAGCACACG
rnacentral:misc_RNA from 1 species